GUUGCACCCAUCCCUCCCGGAAGCGCUCAGGCUCCACGUCAGCCAUGGAGGCGUCCGGCAGUCAGAGCGGGACUGGCGCGGCUCCUGCACCCGCGGACUCAGCCUCGGCUUCGGUGACCCUGGCGCAGCUCCUGCAGCUGGUCCAGCAGGGCUGGGGACUCCCCGGCCUGGAGAGGCGCCACGUCGUGGCGACCCUCGGCGAACCCACGGCGUCCCGGCUCCCGCGGAGGCCCAAGCCCUGGGAGGCCUCGGGCUCCGCCGACGACCCCGUGCCGCCCUUCCAGACCCGGGGCCACAGGCCCGACGACCCUUCCUAUGGGCAGAGGACCCUCCUGGAAGAACCUGGCUCCGGGGAGACUGCGACAGCGCCUUCCUAGAUGGCACAUAGUGGGUUCCUGAGGCUCGAGGUCCUUUGCAGCUGUGAAUGAAAAAUGUUGCUGCCCUAUCUGCAAAGGACGCUGCAGCCAUCUAGCCAUCAGCCAGUGCUGCGGCCCCGUCGGCGAGCCCUAGGGAACCGAGGAUGGAGACAGAUGGGCCGCCGGCUGCCAAGCCCUCAGCCACUGCAGACACUACCAACGGCGCACCCUGAGGGGGCUCAAGAUGGGAAAGAACAGGAUACUGGCCUUGGAUAGCUAAGGCGCAUAUCAAAGGCAAGGCGUCAGUGAGCCCAGACUCUUGCAUCUACCUGUUCACAGAAAAAAGCUCAAUUCAUUAACGUGAGAUGUCGUCUACAGUUUUGGUGACCAUGGAGAGAACCAGAGCAGACUUCUCCUCUUCGCCUGAACUCUACGAGGAACCGGACCCUUGGUACUGGCAGAGGCUUCUUGUGCCCAUCCGCCUCCUUGGAGAGUUCAUACGAACUUGGGUUCACUCUUGAGCCAGUUAACUGUGAAAUAAAAUUCAUGUUUUAUGGAAAGAGAAGAAAAAUUUAAACAAAAAAUCUUCUCUGCCUUUUGGCCUCCUCUCUCCCACCACUGUGCAUUGUGUAUCUUGCAUUAUGCAUUGACCAAACCUUUACCAGCGGCGGAAAUUUCUACUCAACCAUAAAGAGCAACAUUCUCCUAAGACAGUUCCUUAAAGGUAACAUUCCUUUUUGAUAAGGGGUCACAUGGUGCUCAGAUGUGGAUUAUGUAAAUUGUCAAUAAUAUGUCAUUUGAUGUACAGCCCUCCUCUGUCUCAAAAAGCAUAUAUAACUGUAUCUUGACUUCUAAUGGGCGGAACAAUUCUCAGGGCUUUGUGAGAUGCUCUUCCUGGGUUAUAACCCUCAAUUUUGGCUCGAAUAAAAUUUUUAAGAUCGACUGAUUAAAAUUUUUCAUCGACAUAUGCUUGGUGUAGUCAGCAGGAUAUCAGAGACUCCUGCCAGAGGCCACCGGGAGUCUAUGCAGAAACAGUGCUUGGUGCCAGCAUGGGCCCAUUGAGCCCCAUCUGCUUCUCAGCACUCCCCAGGUGUUUUUGGUGGGUUCUCCUGAUAUUUGGAUCUCAUUGUUUGGGUGUUGAUCCUAAAAAUUUUAUUUGAGCUGGUUUUCACUUAAGACUUAGAGUCUUAAGGGCCACCGGUGCAUUUCCUAGGGCGUCUGGGCAAGAGGCCCAGGGAAACAUGUGGCUGGGGUUUUGUUAAAUUUGGCUUAAAAAAAAAAAAAAAAAAAAAAGUUGAUCUAUGGUCUGAACAAAACUUUUGCUAGUGAAAUCAGAGACUGAAUUAUUCAGCGCCAAAGAAUAAAGGGACAUUUUGCUCCUUCCAGCCACAAGCCAUCCUCAGAUGACUGAGGAUCUUUGGGAAGUGUCUGAGGAUCAAUUUUCAUGACGUGUAGCAGUCCCAUAGGGAAACCCCAUUACAGUCAUUAAGUAAGUACUGCUCAUCCAGGCGGCGUGACAGAGGCUGAUCACCUAGUGUUCCGAGCAUCCAAGAUGGUUUUAGGCUGUAAUUGGGAGAAACUGAGCCACCUAAAAGAAGUCGAACCAGGGAAUUCCCUGGUGGUCCAGUGGUUAGGACUCUCUGCUUUCACUGCCGGAGGCCCAGGUUCAACCCCUGGUCAGGGAACUAAGAUCCAGCAAGCCACAUGGUGCAGCCAGAAAAAAAAGGUUAGUAUCUGCAGAUUUUGGUAACUUGAAACUAAACCAAGGUAAAUUAUGAGAAUUCAUUCACUAUCUGGGUCAUUUCAAACAGGAUAAAAUUCUGGAACAUUAAUUGCUGGGGAGGUCUAAGUUCUUAGAAGAGGAAAACUAAAGCAUAAGCAUAAGUUUGUCAAUCAGGAAAUGCUGAUAUGACAAACAGCAUUUUUAUUUAUUUUUUUUGGCUGUGCCAUGUGCGGCAUGCAGGAUCUAGUUCCCUGACCAGGGAUCGAACUCGUGCCCCCUGCAGUGGAAGCUCGGAGUCCUAACCACUGGACCACCAGGGAAUUCCAGAGAAAAAUUAAGGUUUUAAGUUUAAGAAUUAUAAGGGAAACAUUUCAGUAUGCAAGGAAGUAGGAUGUGUGUUUUCAGCAAAGAAGGUAUGAGGAUUGAAAAUGCAUUUUGUUAAAGGAAAAAAGGUUUUGUCCUAGAGCUGGUUGUUUCUGAAUAGAUACAGAAAGUUGUGGAAAGUUUGUGGAAAAAGAACACUGAGAGUUUUGUGCAUGGUCAAAAUUGGCUGAGAUAAGAUUGAACUUAAUUAAGGAACUGUUUUUUUGUUUUUUUUUUGCGGUACGCGGGCCUCUCACUGUUGUGGCCUCUCCCGUUGCGGAGCACAGGCUCCGGACACACAGGCCCAGCGGC